GACGAACGCUGGCGGCGUGCUUAACACAUGCAAGUCGAACGGAAAGGCCCUGCUUUUGUGGGGUGCUCGAGUGGCGAACGGGUGAGUAACACGUGAGUAACCUGCCCUUGACUUUGGGAUAACUUCAGGAAACUGGGGCUAAUACCGGAUAGGAGCUCCUGCUGCAUGGUGGGGGUUGGAAAGUUUCGGCGGUGGGGGAUGGACUCGCGGCUUAUCAGCUUGUUGGUGGGGUAGUGGCUUACCAAGGCUUUGACGGGUAGCCGGCCUGAGAGGGUGACCGGCCACAUUGGGACUGAGAUACGGCCCAGAAUGCUACGGGAGGCAGCAGUGGGGAAUAUUGCACAAUGGGCGGAAGCCUGAUGCAGCAACGCCGCGUGCGGGAUGACGGCCUUCGGGUUGUAAACCGCUUUCGCCUGUGACGAAGCGUGAGUGACGGUAAUGGGUAAAGAAGCACCGGCUAACUACGUG
rnacentral:rRNA from 1 species